rfam:Myotis lucifugus cont2.32806, whole genome shotgun sequence.
GAGACACCCUUAUGGAGCAGGACUUGCUUCAGUGGGGCUUUGGUACUCAUGGAGUCUGCCCCUUGAGUGUGUUACU